UACGGGGGGAGCAAGCGUUGUUCGGAAUCACUGGGCGUAAAGGGAGUCUAGGCGGUUUGGUAAGUGGGAUGUGAAAGCUCAGGGCUUAACCCUGAAAUGGCAUUGAAUACUGCUGAGCUGGAGGUUUGGAGGGGGGACUGGAAUUCUUGGUGUAGCAGUGAAAUGCGUAGAUAUCAAGAGGAACACCAGUGGCGAAGGCGAGUCCCUGGACAACACCUGACACUGAGGCACGAAAGCUAGGGGAGCAAACAGG
rnacentral:rRNA from 1 species